GCAGAUAAAAGCUCCUCACAGCUCCUGGGGCUGUGUCCACCCCCAAGCCCUGCUCACCUGCAUCCACUGAGGGGGGAGAUGGGGAGGAAGCCAGUCCUGGCAGAGUGCUGAACACGCUGUGGGUCCAGGUGAGCUCUCUCCCAGUGGGAGCAUCCAAUGAAGGCUGCAGCAAAGAGUGAGUGGAAGAGCAGAGCCAGGAGCUGCACGGGCGCAGCAGGUAUGGAGAGGGGUGCUGGGUGUCAGCCAGGAGGGGAGGAAAUGACAAAUAAAAUCAUGUAAGAUCUCCUAUGAGCUCUGCAUGACGUCUCUGGGACAGGAGCCCACUGCUGGAUUUUCCUGGGAGGAGACCCUGCUGCUGCCUUGCUCCAUCCCACUGGACGGGAAAAAAUGAGUCAGCCUGCAGUGAAUGCGCCGUGCUGCUUUUUCCUCCUCUCGAGGCAAUGAGAGCCUCGUUAGCCACCUUGCAGGCCAAGCCCGGGUCUCAGCUGUGUUUUGCCCCUGAGCAGAGGACUUUCCCAUCUCUUUGGAGCAGCCCCAUCCCUCGGUGGGCACGGAGCCGGACUUCCAUUUGCCUGGGAAUGCAAAUCUCCCUCAUCUGUCCCACGCUGCCUUUGAAACAGGAGAAAGUCAGCCCUGCCAGGUCCUGGGGAGGCUUUUUCCUGCUCGUGGUGAUUUUGUCUUCAGCUGUGUUUGGAAGGAAACCAGCACGGCCACUUUCUCCCGGCCUCUGUAAAUCAUUCCUUCUCCCCCCCCCCAAUCCUUUCCCCUUUCAUACUAAAAUAAAGGAAAUAAUUAAAAGAGC
rnacentral:lncRNA from 7 species